GUGGGGGGCGGGGGUGCUUUGAUAAGGGAAAGGACUCUUUAAGCUGCUUUUCACAGCUUUACACUGCGGCAAUGUAAAAAUGACGUCAACUUCAGCGUAUUAUGGACUUUGACACCGAUCUGUUUGUCGAGCUCCGCCGACCUUCUCUCUCUCUUGACUUGUUGCUAGUUUGUCACGGUGGAUCCACGCGUUACGGGAUACCGCGGUUGAUUUGGCAGUAAUUGUUCAUUCCUGCAAACGUCCACACAUACCAUGGCCAGUGAUAUAUUAGCAUUGCUUACAGCCAAGUCCAUUCCAACAAUUUCCCAGGUUAUCUCCCUGCGGUUCUGUUUCGAAAUAAUACUGGUCGGUUUGCUCAUCAAACUGCUUCUGAAGAGUCGACACUUUGAUCAGAUUCAGCUCACUGAAGAGGAAAAAGAACAGGUCGUACAGGAAUGGACACCCGAACCGUUGGUCCCUACAGUGCCAGCUGACCAUGAACUGAUUGUUCGAAUGAAGGAAAAUGUUGUGCAAGGAUUUGCUGGUAAGAUAUUAAAAAUCAACGGGAAAGAAUGCAUCAACAUGGCGACUUUUAACUUCCUCGGUUUACUAGGUGACAAAUCUGUUGAAAAGGAAAGCAUAAAACGAUUGAGAUAUUAUGGUGUUGGCACAUGUGGACCACGUGGUUUCUACGGCACCACAGAUACACACUUGGAAUGUGAAGAGCGAUUCUGUGACUAUAUGGAUACCGAAAUGGCUGUUUUAUACUCACAUGGAUUUCUUACUGUUACGAGUGCAAUGGCCACGUAUUCAAAACGUCAUGACGUCAUAUUUUGUGAUAUGGGGGCGUCUUUCGCAAUCACACAAGGAUUAAGAGUGUCGCGCAGCAAUUUCCAUUUCUUUCGACACAACGACAUGGACCAUCUUGAAGAAUUACUUAUCGAACACCAAAAAUGGGAAAAACAAAACCCGAAGAAGGCUAAAUUGACCAAAAAGUUAAUCGUCGUCGAAGCACUGUACCUCAACAUUGGAGAUAUAUGUCCUUUACCAAGAAUUGUGGAGUUCCGAGACAUUUACAAAGUACGUGUGAUGGUUGAUGAAAGCUUUAGCCUGGGUAUCCUGGGAAAAACAGGCCGUGGCAUAACUGAACACUACGGACUUUCAAUAAAAGAUAUUGAUGUGUUCACAGCAGAUCUCGAAAAUACGUUCGCCAGUGUUGGAGGUCUUUCUGUCGGCAAGAAGUGGGUUUUGGAUAAACAGAGAAUGGGAAGUCUCGGUUAUGCUUAUUCUGCCUCACAACCUCCGUUGUGUGUUGGGGCCAUCAUACAAGUGAUCAAUAUUUUAGAGGGGAGUAACGUGGAGGAAAUGCAGUGCCCAGAACCCCUUCAAGGACCGCUAAUAACACUGAUUGCAAAGCGGAAGUUAUCCUCAGACCAGCCAGAAUGCUUGCAACAGUUUGUAUUUCGUUAAAGGCACCCAAUGGUGGUGUCAAUUAAGUGACGGGCUAAGUUUACUGCACAUGUACUGAAGCUGUCAUUCGGAAUUUGUAACAGAAUGUCGCCAAACUUGCGAAAUG
rnacentral:misc_RNA from 1 species